AAUUGAUAUGAUAAUAGAUUUCAUAACUUGGAGAUUGUCACUUACAAUUUUUGAAGACUAGUCAAACCACUGAAUGCACCUUGGUUUAGUUCAGUUAUUCGGUUACCACCCAAGUUCCUUCAAAAAAAGAAAAAAAUAAACAAUAUUAUUAUUAAGCAAAUGUAAACUAUAAAUUAAUAAUGUUGCCAGUUGUAAACAUGUUGCCUUUAAUUGGCGAUGUGUUUUAAUCCUGUUUCACCUGAUUUUUUUUAUAAUUCCACUCAUUAUGCCUGAGAACAGCAUUUAUUCUAUGUAGAGCAUUAGUACCAUGUAUAUUCAGUAUAGUGAAAAGUGAAAUUAUGUUGGUAACAAUAUUAUUACGACUAUACCCCUCAGUGAGCAUAGAAGGUUGCACGUUGUGCUGGUUUGCCAUUGUAUGUUAUCCAUUGAUCAGGGGUAAUAACGAUCAGCGCAUUUGAUCAUUGAUUUGGUUUGGAACUGGCGCUUUACAAAAAAUAAAAAAUAUUAAUAUUAUGUCUAAGUCCAUUAUUGCUAUCGUUACCAUUGUUGCUAGCAUUAGUGUCAUCAUUAUUGCUAUCUUUAUUACAAUCACCUUUAAUUAAGAAUAUCGUUAUUAUUAUUGUUGAAUUGAUUUAAUAAAAAAAAAGACACCAUGAUUUUUAAUCAUCAUUAAAUAUUAUUAAAUAUUGUUUGUAACCGAUAAUUGAGCUGUAAUCAGUAUGUAACCGACAAUAUGAUGCUCCUUUUACAUGCAUAUAAAUUCAUUGCGAUCAAUAUUUUACAUGAAAUAGGUAUUGUGUGAACAGGAUAAAUGGCAUGAAAUUAAUUAUUUGUCAAGUUAAACAUUCUCUGUAUGGAAUCAAUCGUCAUUACACCGAUAAUAGAUAUGAUUUUCACAACCUUUUUAAUUUAAUACUCGUCAUGUGGUCGAUCACGAUAUUCAUUUCGAAUGAUAUUCGAUAACUCAUGAGGUGUAUAUUGAUGUUUGAGGUCACGGACCCCGUUUACGAUGGACGUGCGAUGUAACUGGCGGUCAAAAAUACAAAACAUCUUACCAACCAGCAAUACAAUACUGAAGCAAAGGCUGCUAUUUGGCCGAUUCCAUCUAUAUGUUGAAAAGAAGAUAAUCAAGUUUUCAUGUACAAGGACUUGCUAUAGGCAGGGCUAAAUGCAGAUAAGAUACAGAGUUGCAUCCUAGCAUGAAGCUUGUGCAAGGUGGGAUUAAGUUCCUUUGUUUACUUUUAUUCGAUAGUUGUGUAUGACAACUAUGUGUUAUUUUAUUUCUUGUAC